rnacentral:siRNA from 1 species
UGCCUUAUGGUAGGUUGUU